rnacentral:rRNA from 1 species
AUGCCCUACAUACCAGCUGACAUCACAAACCUAGAGGCAAAAUACUGUAGAGAGAGCAAGUUGGCUGACAUAGAAGCCACGAUGGCCUGCUUCGAUGAGAAAGCGAAGGAAGAUCCAGAUUUCUUCUAUAGGAUAAGGUUGGACGAUGAGGACCGUGUCAGGAACAUGUAUUGGGUGGAUGGUGCUGCAAGAAAAGCCUACAAACAUUUCUGAGAUUGCAUUUCAUUCGACGCGACGUAUCUCACUAAUAUGUACAAGAUGUCGUGCGCUCCAUUCAUAGGAAUAAAUAACCACAAUCAAUCGUUGCAGUUCGGGUGUGGGCUCGUUCGGAACGAAGACACAGAUGGGUACGUUUGGUUGUUCAAGACCUUCUUGGAGUGCAUGGAUGGACUUGCUCCAAUGAACAUAAUAACAGACCAGGAUUUUAGUAUGCGUGCAGGCAUAGAGGAGGUCUUUCCGUUGGCAGUGCACAGGCACUGCAGGUGGCACAUUAUAAAGAAGGCUGAGGAGACGCUAGGACCGUUCUUUGCUGACCGUCCGGAGCUGCACAAGGCAUUCAAGCUGUGCGUGGACCACAGCUUGACGGUGGAGGAGUUUGAAAGGAGCUGGAUGGCCAUGAUUGAAACAUAUCAAGUCCAAGACAACGAGACUCUUGCUAGCUUGUGGGAGAAGCGAAUGUAUUGGGUGCCGGCCUACUUCAUGCAGUGCUUCUUCCCUUUUCUGCAGAUUACACAGCACAGCAAGGGGUUCAAUGCUGUUUUGAAGCGGUACGUGAGCCCUGGCAACUCAUUGCUACAGUUUGCCAAGCAGUACACAGCUUUGCAACAAAAAAUACUGGGAUCUGAGCAACAGCAAGAAGCGAACACCGUGCUAAAGCAGCCAAAAUUGCUAACGUAUUUACCGAUGGAGAGGCAGAUGAGCAAGAUAUACACCAACAAGAUCUUUAACAAGUAA